GAUGAACGCUGGCGGCAUGCCUAAUACAUGCAAGUCGAGCGAACGGACGAGAAGCUUGCUUCUCUGAUGUUAGCGGCGGACGGGUGAGUAACACGUGGAUAACCUACCUAUAAGACUGGGAUAACUUCGGGAAACCGGAGCUAAUACCGGAUAAUAUUUUGAACCGCAUGGUUCAAAAGUGAAAGACGGUCUUGCUGUCACUUAUAGAUGGAUCCGCGCUGCAUUAGCUAGUUGGUAAGGUAACGGCUUACCAAGGCAACGAUGCAUAGCCGACCUGAGAGGGUGAUCGGCCACACUGGAACUGAGACACGGUCCAGACUCCUACGGGAGGCAGCAGUAGGGAAUCUUCCGCAAUGGGCGAAAGCCUGACGGAGCAACGCCGCGUGAGUGAUGAAGGUCUUCGGAUCGUAAAACUCUGUUAUUAGGGAAGAACAUAUGUGUAAGUAACUGUGCACAUCUUGACGGUACCUAAUCAGAAAGCCACGGCUAACUACGUGCCAGCAGCCGCGGUAAUACGUAGGUGGCAAGCGUUAUCCGGAAUUAUUGGGCGUAAAGCGCGCGUAGGCGGUUUUUUAAGUCUGAUGUGAAAGCCCACGGCUCAACCGUGGAGGGUCAUUGGAAACUGGAAAACUUGAGUGCAGAAGAGGAAAGUGGAAUUCCAUGUGUAGCGGUGAAAUGCGCAGAGAUAUGGAGGAACACCAGUGGCGAAGGCGACUUUCUGGUCUGUAACUGACGCUGAUGUGCGAAAGCGUGGGGAUCAAACAGGAUUAGAUACCCUGGUAGUCCACGCCGUAAACGAUGAGUGCUAAGUGUUAGGGGGUUUCCGCCCCUUAGUGCUGCAGCUAACGCAUUAAGCACUCCGCCUGGGGAGUACGACCGCAAGGUUGAAACUCAAAGGAAUUGACGGGGACCCGCACAAGCGGUGGAGCAUGUGGUUUAAUUCGAAGCAACGCGAAGAACCUUACCAAAUCUUGACAUCCUUUGACAACUCUAGAGAUAGAGCCUUCCCCUUCGGGGGACAAAGUGACAGGUGGUGCAUGGUUGUCGUCAGCUCGUGUCGUGAGAUGUUGGGUUAAGUCCCGCAACGAGCGCAACCCUUAAGCUUAGUUGCCAUCAUUAAGUUGGGCACUCUAAGUUGACUGCCGGUGACAAACCGGAGGAAGGUGGGGAUGACGUCAAAUCAUCAUGCCCCUUAUGAUUUGGGCUACACACGUGCUACAAUGGACAAUACAAAGGGCAGCGAAACCGCGAGGUCAAGCAAAUCCCAUAAAGUUGUUCUCAGUUCGGAUUGUAGUCUGCAACUCGACUACAUGAAGCUGGAAUCGCCAGUAAUCGUAGAUCAGCAUGCUACGGUGAAUACGUUCCCGGGUCU
rnacentral:rRNA from 1 species